UACGGAGGGGGCUAGCGUUGUUCGGAAUUACUGGGCGUAAAGCGCACGUAGGCGGCUUUGUAAGUUAGAGGUGAAAGCCCAGAGCUCAACUCUGGAACUGCCUUUAAGACUGCAUCGCUUGAAUCAUGGAGAGGUCAGUGGAAUUCCGAGUGUAGAGGUGAAAUUCGUAGAUAUUGGGAGGAACACCAGUGGCGAAGGCGGGCACCUGGGCCGACACUGACGCUGAGGCGCGAAAGCUAGGGGAGCAAACAGG
rnacentral:rRNA from 1 species